rnacentral:rRNA from 1 species
AUUGAACGCUGGCGGCAGGCUUAACACAUGCAAGUCGAGCGGAGAGAGGUAGCUUGCUACUGAUCUUAGCGGCGGACGGGUGAGUAAUGCUUAGGAAUCUGCCUAUUAGUGGGGGACAACAUUUCGAAAGGAAUGCUAAUACCGCAUACGUCCUACGGGAGAAAGCAGGGGAUCUUCGGACCUUGCGCUAAUAGAUGAGCCUAAGUCGGAUUAGCUAGUUGGUGGGGUUAAUGCCUACCAAGGCGACGAUCUGUAGCGGGUCUGAGAGGAUGAUCCGCCACACUGGGACUGAAACACGGCCCAGACUCCUACGGGAGGCAGCAGUGGGGAAUAUUGGACAAUGGGCGGAAGCCUGAUCCAGCCAUGCCGCGUGUGUGAAGAAGGCCUUAUGGUUGUAAAGCACUUUAAGCGAGGAGGAGGCUACUUUAGUUAAUACCUAGAGAUAGUGGACGUUACUCGCAGAAUAAGCACCGGCUAACUCUGUGCCAGCCGCCGCAGUAACAC